rnacentral:lncRNA from 1 species
UAAAACACCAAGAAAGGGGAAGCCUCAUAGAAAUGAUAACACAAAAUGUUACCUGUUCAAGCCGAAUGCCACAGUAAGCCCAGGCCAGGGAAGGCCUCACAGCUCCAUGUACUCCAGGCAGUGAUGAUGUUGCCAACCCGGUGGAGUGGUGCCAGGCUGAGAAAGGAGCCAGGACCUUCAUCCUCGCAAAGAUGUACCAGUGCCGAGACCUUGAAUGGAGGGGGAGACCACAAGUGUCAUCUGAACCUUCGGCCCAAGCAGACAUGAACAACAGC